rnacentral:rRNA from 1 species
AACGAACGCUGGCGGCGUGGAUUAGGCAUGCAAGUCGAACGAACAUUUUAGCUUUUCCGAAUGUUAGUGGCGAAAGGGUGAGUAACACGUGGGUUACCUGCCCUAGGGUUCGGGAUAACCUGUCGAAAGACGGGCUAAUACCGGAUACGUCUCCGUUAUUUAACUAUAGCGGAGAGAAAGAUGGGGAUUCGUAAGAAUCUAUCACCCUUGGAUGGGCCCGCGGCCUAUCAGCUAGUUGGUGAGGUAAUGGCUCACCAAGGCUAAGACGGGUAGCUGGUCUGAGAGGAUGGUCAGCCACACUGGGACUGAGACACUGCCCAGACUCCUACGGGAGGCUGCAGUCGAGAAUCUUUCGCAAUGGGGGAAACCCUGACGAAGCGACGCCGC